UACGUAGGGUGCAAGCGUUGUCCGGAAUUAUUGGGCGUAAAGAGCUUGUAGGCGGUUUGUCGCGUCUGCUGUGAAAUUUCGGGGCUCAACCCCCGAACUUGCAGUGGGUACGGGCAGACUAGAGUGUGGUAGGGGAGACUGGAAUUCCUGGUGUAGCGGUGGAAUGCGCAGAUAUCAGGAGGAACACCGGUGCGAAGGCGGGUCUCUGGGCAGUAACUGACGCUGAGGAGCGAAAGCCAGGGGAGCGAACGGG
rnacentral:rRNA from 1 species